rnacentral:lncRNA from 1 species
GUGAACUCAAGAACACUGGAAAACAACAAUACCACUGGUUUCUUAGAUUUUUGCAAGGAUCACAGCUGAAAAAACAUCAAAGAAAUGAAGGAUUCCGGAAGCUCUGGCGUUUUAAAGAUAAAUGGUAAAACUGAACUGGAAAUCCAUCUGGCCGGCUGCCUGCUCUAAUGAAUAACCCCACUUUGGCUCGUGCAAUGACUUCUUCCCUUUGGAAUGCAAGUGCGGUGGCAGUGUCAAGGAUGCCUGUGUGUUUGCAGCAGGUUCCUUCCAGAAGCAGCUGCAAGUGCCACCUCCAGGCCAUCUGGCCAAUAGCAGUUUCUUGUGAAACCUUAUCUGUUCUUCCCUGGACAAAACGUGUUGUUUUCAUUGUGUUAGAUAGCCUAACACUGGAGAAAAUUCAGCAGAUCACAGUGCACAUCCCCAAGUUGCAAUGUGGGGACGGACAGUUCAGACGUGGAACUCCCAGGUAUUUGCCGGACUGGUCCGUGUAAGACCUCUCACCGGUUCGCAUAAAGGUGUAUUGCUAUUCAGAUAAUGUCUUCCCCUGCUCAACAAAAGGUUGUUGUACCGAGCUGUGAUUGUGACAAAUGAUUUACUAUUAGGAACAUUCUGUAAUUAUUGUUCGGUGGGACCGCAGACCGAUACAUCAUUAACAUGAUAGACGGCCUUUGAUACCAGCAAAAAUAACUAAAUUAAUAAAAAUGGCUUCAUUCCAAUCCCUGUCAGAAAGCCAAUACUCAGAACAAUCAAGCAGCAGUGAUACCUGAGAAGGCCAUAGUUUAUAUCCCCCAACAAAUCAGGUUUCAUACAGAAGCAAUAAAAUAUUUGUAUAUAUAAUCUCUGUAAUAUGGAUCUGUAUAAUAUAAGAGAUUUUAUGGAGAUCAGCUCUAAACAAAAAUAUAGGAUAUGUAAAUAUUUUCUUCCAAAUGAUUUAGAUGUAAAUUUAUGCUUUUAUGCAAUUGGAUUGCAGUUUUAGAAUAUUAGAAUUUGCCUUUGACAUCUUUUCUUUCAAGAUGUCUUAAGCACUGAGAAACAUUUUAAUGUAGAUUCUACAGGCUAAAGUUUCGUUUUUCCUUUCUCUUAUUUUCUUCUCUUUUUCCUUUCUCCCUUCCUUCCAUCCUUUCUUUCCUUCUUUCUUCUUUCUUUCAAUCCUUUCCUCCUUUCUUUCUUUUCAUCAACAAAUCCCUAAUUUAUGCUUUAAAUCCUUAGCCUCACAUUUCUGACAUUUCUACACAGAAUGAGAGGAAAGAAAGAUCUAUUUCUGAGUACUCUGUUGAAAUAGACUUAUAGAAACAAAAUGCAGACUACGGGCAUCGAUACAAAACCUUUGAGGUCCACCUAAGUAGAAAUCACAAUUACAUUUCUAGGUUUUUUUUGCACUUUAGUACUGAAAACAAAUUUCAAUUAAAAAAUGGACAAUUAUAAUAAGGGGGACCUGCAUAGAAAUCUAAGACUAGGAGCUCUCAAGAAAUCAGAGAAAGUAUAACAGAAAGCAACUGUUUUCUAUUAUUUUCUUCCUUACUUAUUUUCUCUCUUUCAGUGUAUUUUUGUCUGCAAUCUCAUAUCCAAAACUCUUGGGAUGAGAUGUGUCCUGUAAUUCAGAACCGUUAUGAUUUUGGAAGACAUCUUGGCCACAAAGCCAAAUACUAUCUGCCAUCAUCAGGGAACCUAGGGUGGCAUCCAUUAAUAUGUAUGCAACAACACAUAUGAAUACACACCAACUGGGAUAAAUAAAGACUGCAUCGUCCACAUAGGUGUGGGUCACAUUUUGCUACAAAUGAAAUCAACUUAGGUCAAAAAUAAAUGUUGUGUAGAGACUUUUAGAUUAAGGAAUUGCAACUGAACUGUUCAAACCAACUCUAAGAAUCCUGUUAAUUUAAAUAUAAUCUAAAUUCAUCUUGUGUGAUUCCAUUCACUUUGAAUACUUUUUUAAAGACUUUAUUCUUUUAGAGCAGUUUUAGUCUUACAGUAGAAUUGAGAGGAAGGAACAAAGAUUCCCCAUAUACCCCCUUUUUUUUUUUUUGAGACAGGGUCUCACUCUG